CUAUUGUUUCCAUAGAAACAACUUUUUUUUAAAUACCAUGAGAUAUUGUAUUUAAGAGAUAUUCUAGCUCAGUAUAUGUUGUUUCCAUAUAUCAUCAUCUUAACAAGCACACAUUCUCUGCUGCCAACAGUACCAAUUUGUCAACCAAGCAACAAAUAUUCCUUGGUAAUCUGCUAUCAGAUAACAGUUUUCUCGUUGGCAUUUUUAUGAAUUAAAGCUUUCAAGGCUUAAUGUUUUGGUCAAGUUUCAGAUUUGUUUAGCAUAAUCCUGUACUACAUAUUAACAAAUGUUUGGUGUGUCUAGUUCAUCUCUCUCACUAUGAAGAUGGCUACACACUAUCAGCAAUGCACCCCUAUGAUAUACAAGUCUUCAUUGCCAAGUCACUCUGCCAAACAGUGUGUACACCUUUCUUGCAGUGGUAGUACUUUACUGUACUUCAAUCACUUCAGGAGUCUGGAUAUGUCAGCCCAAGGCCAAGGAGAUCAAGUUUGUGUCCAAGGUUACUUAGGUAAUUCUCUAAGAACAAUAGGUUUUUUUUUUUAAAGACACACACUACAUGUUGCUGAUCUGUGGGUUAGUGGCUCAAUCAUUGUGCACUGAUUCUCCACUGAUGCCUAGAUUGCCAUAAGUUUAUCUAUUGAUCUACAGAUCAAGUGAGUUUUUCUCAAAUCAAGUAGGGACUAAAUGGUCUAUUAAACAUGAGGUCAAGGAAAAAGGAUGAACAUUUCAAGGCUGCAGGAGGAACAUUAAACAUCUCUCUCACUGUGAAAAGAUUCUACCGAUCUACAAAUGAUCAACAUGUUUUAUCUAAAGUUCAUCUGCCAUUUCUUCAAAUGGAGCCAUAGUCAGAAUAAGGUUCAAAUGUAUCAGUUGUUUUUGUUGACAGAUAUCAAGUCAUUUCAGUUCUCAAUUAUUUUGUGCACUAAGUUACAAGAAAAAAUUCAAGCAAAAGAGGUCACUACACUAAGACUUUGUCUUCUCAUAAGAAUGGAUGGCUGCCUGGUCAUGUGAUAUGUGUGCUGGACUGUGUGUGGUCAUCUUGAUGCUCAUAUCUUGCCUGAUGACAUUUAUUCUGCUGGACAUUUGGUCAAGGAAGUAGAUUCUCUUCAGCUCUCAAGAAACAUUCAAAACAUGUCAAACAUUUGACAAGAAUAUCAAACAAGUGCAGUGUACAUACCAACAUGAUGAAGAUGUAGACCAACAUGAUGAAGAUGUAGGCCAACAUGAUGAAGAUGUAGACCAACAUGAUGAAGAUGUAGACCAACAUGAUGAAGAUGUAGACUGACAUGAAGAUGAAAUGUAAACCAAAAUAUUGAUCAAGAGAUGUAUGGAAUAAAAAGUGAACAUCUUGAGAGGGAAAACAAAUCCUAGAGGCAAAGACACAGACACAUUAGAUACAUUAGAGAUUGUUUCCUUUACUACCAUCAUUUAGAGCCUUUUUUUGUGAGGGAACCUGCAUCUGUAAAGAACUGAACAUUUCCCUAAUGCUACUUCAAAUUCAGAUCUCCUCCCAACCUCAGGCUGAGUACCCGUGGUCACCUACUUUAUGUUACAUUACCAUAGCACUACAGACAGUGGAAAACAAAUUAUAUGAAGGAAUGCAACCACCAUCAGAUAUUGUUGUCUUUACAGACUCCCAAUCUACUCUUCAAGAACUUAACAGCAGCACCUCAAACAGCACAAGAGAGUUGACAACACUCAUUGUGAUAAUCCAUCAGAUGAUAUCAAAAUUAAAUAUCAAUAUCACACUACAGUGGAUCCCUGGACACAUUGUCAUCAUGGGAAAUGAAAAGGCAGAUAAGCUAUCAAAGGCAGGUUCAUCUAUGGAACAACCAGAUAGACCUGUUAACUACCUCACCCUAAGGUCAAUGUUAGUCAACAAUCAUAAAGAGGAGUGGCUCAACCAAUGGGCAUCAGGAAACACAGGCAGAGCCAUGUACAAAGAAAUGACUACACCUAACAAACUGGACAGUAUUAACUUCCUCCCCUGCAAAGAACAAUCUACAAUUUUCCAACUAAGAACAGGACACACUCCACUAUUAAAUUACCACCUGAACAAAAUAAACUCCACACAACUCCUCCUUUGCAGACACUGCGCCCACCCCUUUGAAACCGUAAACCAUAUCCUCUUUGAAUGCUCCUCCCUAAUCCACCUUAGGCAGACCCUACUUCCACUACAGCCCAACAUAACCAACACCCUGUACGGCAGUGCUGAACAACUGAAGAAAACAGCACACUUUUUUUCCUUGGCACAGUCUGCAAAAGAGCUUACAGCUCAGCAGCAAUAAAGCUGGCUAGAAGAAGAAGAAGAAAAAGAGGUUACAUUACAAGAAGUGGUCGCAAAGUCAGAAAACCUAACAGAUGACAAUGAGUAGAACAAUCAUUUCUGAUACAGGUACAAGUACUCAAGUGAUGUACUUUGUAAGAACUAAUUAGGUGGAAUCACCAUAAUUGAUUUCUAUCUUGUUCUAUAUAUAGGUAUAUCUUGACAAUCAGUCCAGUCAUUGUUCAUUCGUUUUUAAUAUUCCUUUUGUUCCCUCAAUCAUCUUGUUGUUUCAGUUAAUGUUUUUAUCUUUUUUGUUUUUGGAGGUGGGAGGGGCUGUGGUAUAUUAUUAUUAUUAUUAUUGAAGUCACAACACCAAAGCCUUGCUACAUUAUGCUUUUAAUUCAAUUUAUCAUCUCCCCUUCUUUUGUGUGCUAUCAUAUUAAUGUUCAUUAGUGUCACAUCCAUGCACAAUUUGUUCUAUGCUUUUUAUAGUGUAAAUAGUGACUUGACAUUAUUAAGAUCAAUUAUAAUAUGUUAUAUUAUAUUUAAAAUAAAACUGUUAGCAUUUUCUAUGAUGUUAUUAAUAUGAAUGUGUUUGUGUGUUGCUAUGAAUGCAUUUUAAGUUUUAGUCUGAAAUCAUAAAUAAGAAAUUGUUUCAUAAACAAAGAUUAUAUUAAUAUUUAAUAUUGUCAGACUUCACUAUAGCAUUGAGUUCAUCCCCAUAAUCUAUUUAAAACUUUCAAAUACUAAUUCACUUUGUCUUAUCUAAUGAUGAUCAUGGGGGUAUCCACUAUCCAUAGUCUCUGGUAUGAACACUCACUGUCCUGGUUAGGGCUAGGAUGUAAUCUCUAUUUCUGAUGGAACACAUGUAAAACCAAGAAACAAACAGUAGACCUAGACUUUAUUAACAGGUCAUGCAAGCAUUUUUUUAUAAUUGUGAACUGAUGCUCUCAGAGCUAUUUUUAUGUAUUUUUAUUUUUGCUACUUUUGUAGACUAGUGCUAAGCUGUAUGCUUAUACUUCUGCCUAAUAUUAUAUGGGUUAGGGCGAUGCUGUUUCCUGUACUGUUGACAAGAGUGUGUCAGUUUUAAUUAUUCUGUACUUGGAACUGCCUUUAAGUUUCAGAAUUUGUUGUUUUUUCUAUAUGUAAAGCUACUUUAUAUAUAUAGUUAUAUAUUAUGGUACAUUAUUUUUCUAAUUGAAACAAGUCAAAAUAAUUGGCAGUUUUUUUUUUUUUAAAGUUUGUUUAAAAAUGAUGGCCACUUCUAAUGUUUAUGUACUUGAUCUUUUCCUAAUUUUUUUUUUUUUUAUCUGCAGUGUUUUGUAACUGCUGCUUUGCUCAUUUGAAUUAAAGUAUCAUUUUGUUAUUUCUUCUCUUUCUUGAUUUCUUUUAUCAAGCCCCUUGGUCACAGACUGAGGUGCACAGAUACAACC